AUAAAUUAUGUAAUAGUGUAGCUAAGAACUUGCUCUAAAACACAGGUACAACUUACGUGAAACUCACACCAUAGAGUUCACAAAAAACUUAAAAAAAAAAAAAAAAAAAACACACCACAUUCUAACAAUCUCUACUCUGACUUGUUGGAUAUUUUGGAAAAUGUUGAACAAUAUUAAAAGCUCUGUAAACAAAAGGUAGGAAAUAAAAUAAGUGAAAUGCUUUAUGAUCGCUAUAUUCGUAAUUUAUUUCGAUAUCGUCGUCACCAUUUCGCCAAAAGUCGAUAUUUUUUGUUGUAUAUGUAUAAUUAGGUAUUAUAAAAUAACGCGUCGUGACUUACGACCACGACUUACGCGACUUACACUCAUUAACUCUUAUUUAUUGUACGCGUUCCGUCGCCGUAAUAGUGUAUAAUAACAAUACUAACAGUAUAUAAUGGUUACCCUAUAGGGAAAUGUCAAAAGACGAUUUUUAAAAGUCCAAAUUUUACUAGUCUAUUAAAACGAAAACGUAAUCUUUCUUUUGAAAACGGGAACAAAAAGUAAAUCUUAUUAAAGUUUAAAGAUGACGCACAAAGAAAGGGACGACCACUGCAACGGCGGCAGUGAUAUGGCGAUGCGAGUAACAAGAUGACAACAAUGCAUGCUGCGUACACAUAAAAGACUUUUAUGAUUCACGGACCGCAAUUGUUAUAUUCAAAACAGAAUUGUAUAACAAUUACGUCGGAAAGAUCUUAU